AGUGAACGCUGGCGGUAGGCCUAACACAUGCAAGUCGAACGGCAGCACAGUAAGAGCUUGCUCUUACGGGUGGCGAGUGGCGGACGGGUGAGGAAUACAUCGGAAUCUACUUUUUCGUGGGGGAUAACGUAGGGAAACUUACGCUAAUACCGCAUACGACCUACGGGUGAAAGCAGGGGAUCUUCGGACCUUGCGCGAUUGAAUGAGCCGAUGUCGGAUUAGCUAGUUGGCGGGGUAAAGGCCCACCAAGGCGACGAUCCGUAGCUGGUCUGAGAGGAUGAUCAGCCACACUGGAACUGAGGCACGGUCCAGACUCCUACGGGAGGCAGCAGUGGGGAAUAUUGGACAAAGGGCGCAAGCCUGAUCCAGCCAUACCGCGUGGGUGAAGAAGGCCUUCGGGUUGUAAAGCCCUUUUGUUGGGAAAGAAAAGCAGCAGGUUAAUACCCCGCUGUUCGGACGGUACCCAAAGAAUAAGCACCGGCUAACUUCGUG
rnacentral:rRNA from 1 species